rnacentral:tRNA from 5 species
GGAACCGUAGCUCAGUUGGUUAGAGCAGUCGGCUCAUAACCGAUCGGUCCAGGGUUCGAGUCCCCGCGGUUCCA